UGGAGAUUAGGCUAUUGAUAAGAUUGCCUUUUUCUUGUAAUUUUCUAAGAUAUUUGUAAACUGAUGAAGACUCAUGUCCUGCAUGACUGUGAUCUCUAUCAGUUAACCAUUUGUUUUCUUUCCUUUCCUUUGUUCUUGGGCAGCCAGGCCUGCCUGAGGAAUAUCACACAUAUCCCACCUGGGGGGUGGGGGUGGGAGGUGUUGUUAGCUUGUGUUUUGCCCUCAGUUUGCCUUACGUUCCCUCAUCACUAAGAUUGUUUCAUUUUUUACCAACACCUACAUGUGCACUGAGUUAGUAUCAGAGGUUAUAGUUCACAUCCAGGCUGCCCACUUACUAGGUCUGUGAACUCAAGCUACCUGACCGUGAGACCCAUUCUCCCAUUUGCAAAGUAAAGAAAAUAGAACCAGCUGCCCAGAGUUGUUAGGGGUAAAUGAGGGAACACAGGUGAUAGAACCUAACUUACUGUCGGAUUUGGGAGAGAUGCUCUAUGAGAACUAAGAGAGAUGAUUCAUUUUCAGAAAUACCAAAUAAAAGCUGUGCUGUCUAGAUAACAGUAUGUUUACAACUGUUUCCUAUUGGAAAUAUAUAGGAACUCUUCCCCCUCCCAUAAUGGAGUCCCAAACCCUUGGACACUUCACUGACUGGUUCUUCUUCCUCUCUUGGUUUCCUGAGCUUAUUUUCAUGGGCUUUGCAAUGAGCAUGCGCCAAAAAACGAAGGACUGAAAGUCACUGAGUCACAUCAGGAAAUGUACAUUUGUUCCAAUCAGACGACUUUUUGCCUUACUUGGGUAUAGGCGACCUCAAGGUAAGACUAUAACCUCUGUAGUACUCAACCAAUGAGGAAUCAGGCAAGAGACUUGUAUGCUGGGAGAUAAAUUGUCUGCUGUAACCGCCCCAAGUGUGCCUGUCCGUCAGACAUCCGCUCUUGCAAGAACGUUGAUUAAACCUAUCUUCACUGUGCUUGGGGUCUCUGCGUCCCUCCUUUGAUUGGUGAUCAACAUUCCCCUCCCAAUGAGCAAAGCAAGGGCCUGCUCAUCACCUUUGGAACACACUGCCUUUGUUUGAUCAUGGCUGUGACUGAGUUCCUGAGAACUUACAUCUCAUAUGAAACAAUGAAGAUAACUCAGAAGACCCCAUUCUGGAAGAAUGUGAUUCCAUGCUCUUGUCCUCUGCCUAGAGCUGGUGUAGAAGAUACAUUGACUUUCAGAGAUUUGGGUUUGAAUUCUAGCCUUGCCACUUUCUAGCCUUAGUUUCCUCACCUGUAAAAUGGAACUAAUAACCUACCUCAAUGGACUUUUUAUAAGGAUAUAAUUAGUUACCACAUGCAAAGUGCCUGGUGUGCAAUAAACACUCAUAAGUAAUGUCGUCAUGAUUUAUACAAAUCACCAGGCUAGGAAAAUCUGUUCUGGUUCUCUUGCUGUCACUUUCUCCCAGAUGUCUGCCAUUUUGAAAUUUGCCCUGUAAUUAAAUAUUUUCAGUCAAAUCACUUCCUUGAGGUUUAUGGUAACAUGCAUUCUAAUUCAUUGUUGGGAUAGUUAAUUUUCUAGGUAUUUCUGAACUUAAAAAAAAUAGAAAUGUUCUAUUUAUUCACAUUUAUUUCUUCCUUAAAAGCACUGGUUGAGAUCAUGAGACCAUUACCUCAGAGAGCUCAGACAUUAUUAAAACAAAUUACUCUAGGCCAGUGUAAGGAGAGCCCUAACACUCACUCUCACAGAGGAGGCUGGGAGGUCCCUUGAGAAGGAGUGAAAGAAUGGAUCUCUUGUUGGCUCACACACAUUAUUUAGAAAUAGCUUAUUUUGUUAAUAUCACCAGAUGGUUCCAAGCCAUACAUAAAAACAUUCUACCCCACACUGAUUUGCUUGACAAGUGUCCCACAACAAAGGGAGUUAACUAGACUGAAAGGCAUGUGUCUAUUUAGGGGCAAGCCUGGUUCAAGGUUCAUGUGGUCUGUUGAUGAGAGCUCUUUCUUGGGAAUACUAAAAUCCUAAUGUUGAUGAGAAAAGUACUUUCUUGAGCCAGAAAUUAUGCACUACAAAUUUUAUUCUACCACUUCCUGGUGAUGUGGCAAGAGUCAAAUGUUUCAUCUCUAGGCCACCAUUUCUUUGUUUGUAAAGCAGAGAUAGUAAUAGGUGUCUCACAGAGUCCUAGUAAGAUUUAAGUGAUUAUUAUGGAAGAAUCUGGAACAGAAACAGAUCCACAGCAAGCACCCAACAAAUGCUGGGUGAAAUAUUAGUUCACCCAGUAGAUCAAUCUGAAUACAUGUCUUCAUAUUUCAGAAUCUAAAUUCAAGAAGGCAGGGAUGAUAAUGGCAUGGAAAGUUUUCAACUUUGAGUCAAGAAAAAAAAGCUAAACUGUACUUACUACUUGCUGUGUUGCUUUGGGCAAAUUGCUCAACUUUUCUGAGUCUUAUUUUUUUAAUGUGCAGAAUGGGGCAUAAUAAUAAUAUCUCUUCACUGUAGUUUCUAGGAUUACUGAGGGAGUAAAAUUUGUCUCUGUGUAUCCUCAGCCUUCAGAUUCUUCAUUCAUUCUCUUCCUAAAAGUAACAACAUUGUUGAAUGUGUAUUUGAGUUUUCUCAAAUUACUAACUUCUAAUGGAACAGAUAGCCUUAAAAAUAUCCAGUGGAAGAAUCAUAGUUAACUUCUGGAAUUUUCUGAGGGAGCAUUUCAUAUGCAAAGGCAAAUUAGCAAUACUAAUAGAACAUUAGUAAGAGCAGUGGUUAAGAUAAUUAUCCAUCUCUGGGGAAAUGCCACCAUCUUCUGUGAUCUAUCUUAUGCUUUCAAAUGCAGGAAGAUGCAAUAAUUUCAUGAUAAUUUCAGUUUCAGAACUACCUUUACUAAGUGUCUGAAUAUUCAUUUCUGAAUACUCUACAAGCCGAAUAUUACAGCCAGUUGGAUAAAUCAGUUGGAUAAUUACAGCCAGUGUUGGAUAAAUCAAAGGAUAAGGCUAAUGAAAUCCUGAGCUUGUCAAGGAUUCAGACCCAGUGAAUUGGUUGGUAUUCUAGAAAAUGGGGUAUGCAUGGAAGUAAAACAUUGCCAAGAAGAUAAUAACUUGGGUUUGAUUUAGUUGAACAGAAAAUGCUUAAGUUAAUUUAUCCUCUUUCAUUGUCAGAGGGGAAAAAAAACCCAAACAAACCUGUCUUUAAUUUCUAAAUAAUACAUGAAUGUAUUCUUACUUGAAAAAAAUUUAAACCUUUUAAAGUUUACAUCCCUCUCCUCACCACUUCCCUUCUCAAAGGUGACUAUAUUAUCAGUUCAUUGUGUAUCUUUUUCUAAGUCUUUUCCUUGCCUUUUCUUUAAUAUGUAAUGUAUUUAUAGAAACACAGUUUGAUUAGUGCGUAUUUGUGUGUAAAUAAUGCAAACUGUCCUGUAACUACCUUUUUACUCUACAAUGUGUAUUAAAGGUAGUCCCAUGUCAGUAUGCAGAUAUCUGGUUCAUUCUUUUUAACUGUUAUGUAGAACUCCACAGUACGAAUGUGUUAUCAUUUGCUUAACCAUUUACCUAUUGACUUACAGGUGAGUCAUUUCAAAUGUGUUGCUCUUACAGAUAUUGCUGCAAUCAAUAUAUUCAACCAAUUCUUAGGCAUAUGAACAAAUAUAAAAAAGUAAUUACCGAUCAUAAGAUGUACACAUUUAAAAUUAUAAUAACACUGUCAACUUAUCUUUCAAGAUGUCCAUGCCGGUUUAUACUCUGUCUAGCAUUGUUUUGUGGUAACCACUUCCCUAUAUUUUCACCAACAUUUGAUAAAAAUAUUUCAAUAUCUUACUUAAUGACAGGAAAAUGGUAUCUUAUUGCUGUCUUUAUUUGUAUUUAGUAGUAAUAUUGAGCAUUUUUUCUACAUAUAUUGGUUAUAUUUUCUCUUAAACUCCUGCUAAUGCAUGCAUCGGCUCUUUCUGUAUUUUAUUCUUUUAAUCUACUUGCACUUUCCUACAAAGAUGGCACAUGUAUUUAAUCUAGCUUUUUAAUAUGUUUUAAACCUUUAGGGAGGAGCUCCUCUUAUACAGACCUUUGUACUUGCAAAUUUCUUAGGCAAGAUAAUAUCUAAUCAGGCGUCACACCUGGGAUCAAGUGAUGGCUAUUAUUCUUUAUUUUUAGAGAUGAAGAAAUAAAACUACAAAGUGGACAAAGUCAGAUCUAGACCUCAGAUUUUGGGUUCCAGUACCUUUCCUUCUAAACUAAAAUCCUGCAAUUAUACCUAGGUGCCACAGAAACCUAGGAUAUUAGAGGGGAAUUAGGUUAAGUAAAAAAUUAUCUAUCUAAAUUCCUUAUUUUACACAUGAGCAAAAUGAAGUAUGGGAAAGCUAAAUACAUAUGACCUGAUACUAGAACACAGGUCUACAGGCUCUCAGUUGGGAUUCUUUGCACUAAACCAUGUAGAUUUAUGUAAUAGCAGCAUUUCAUAAGCAGAUUCUAGUGUUUUAUCCCUACUUAUCACCUAGAAGCAGAAAAAAAUUGAGAAACCACUGCUAAACUUAUAAUUUUUUUUCCAUUCUCUUAACUCACAAAAUAAAGGGAAUUGAAAUCGUUAAAGUUGAUACUAAACAUAUGAAAGUUAAAGCUCAACAGUCAUAUAUAUAUGUAUAUAUAUAUAUACACACUGACUCUAUGAAAAAGACAAAAAGAGUAAAAAAAUUCUCAGUUAUAACAAUAUAUUAUACUUAUAUACUGUCCGCUUACUGAGUGUAUCAAGUAUUUCAUGAAUAGUGUUGCAUCUAUAAGCAAUGAUAGGCAAACAUGUUUGGAAUGAACAGUCAUGGCUAUCACAAGGACUCCCCUGGAACAGGUGAUUCAAACUUUUCCCUUGACCGGGAUCUUUUAUAACCUGGUUUUUAAUAUUCUCAGCUGGGAAGUGCAUGAACACUGGAUUUCAACAGCUCUCUGUUUUCACCUGAUAGCACUUUUGUUUGGUUGAGCAAUGGACAAGAACAGAUUCACCUGUGUCACAAACUUCAAAUUUUUUUAACUACUCUGCAAAAACAGGCAUUUAAGACUGCCCGUAAAUAGACAGAAAUGCAAUGAUACUAGAGGACUUGAAUAAUCCACUUUAAGGACACCAAGGUGGCUCAGAGUUGGUUCAGCGUCUGACUCUUGGUUUCGGCUCAGGUCAUAAUCUCACAGUUCGUGGGUUCGAACACCUCAAUGAGCUCUGUGCUGACAGUGCGGAGCGUGCUCAGGAAUCUCUCCCUGUCCCUUUUUCUCUGUCCCUACCCUGCUCUAGCUCUCUCUCUCUCAAUCAAAAUAAAUAAAUUAAUAAUAAAAAAAAAAUAACGCACUUUCAACAUUGGAUCGAUUAUCCAGAUGGAAAAUCAAUAAAGAAAGGUUGUAACUAAACUACACAUUAGAUUACAUGGACCUAAUAGGCAUUUAUAGAACAUUCCAUCUAAUAGCAGCAAAAUACACAUUCUUCUUAAGCCCACAUGGAACGUUCUCCAUAUGUUAAGCUACAAACCAAGUCUUAAUAAAUUUAAGAGCAUUGAAAUCUUAUCAAUUAUCUUUUCUGACCACAGUGGUAUGAAACUGGAAAUCAGUUAAAAGAAAAAAAACUAGGAAAUUCACGAGUAUAUGGAAAUUAAACAACAUGCUCCUGAAUGACCAAUGGGUCAAAGAUAAAAAUAAAAAUUAAAAAAAAUAUCUUGAGAAAAAUGAAAAUUGAAACACAACAUAUCAGCUAAAGUGGUUGUAAGAGGGAAGUUUACAAUGAUAAAUGUCUAUAGUAAGAGAAAUCACAAAUGGUUGAUUUUACACAUCAAAGAAAUAGAAAAAGAAAAACAAAUGAAGCCCAAUAUUAGUAGAAGAAUGAAAAACUACAAAGAUCAGAAAAUAAAUAAAUGAAAUAGAGACCAACAAAACAAUAGAAAAGGACAGUGAAACUAAGAGCUGGUUCUUUGAAAAGGUAAACAAGAUAGAUAAGCCUUUAGCUAGACUUACCAAGAAAAAGAGAAGACUCAAGUAAAUAAAAUUAUAAGUAAAUGAGGAGACAUUACAACUGAUACCACCAAAAUACAAAGGAUCACAAGAAA